rnacentral:rRNA from 1 species
AGUGCUUGAUCCUGGCUCAGGACGAACGCUGGCUGCGUGCUUAACACAUGCGAAUCGAACGCUGAAGCCUGGUGCUUGCACCGGGUGGAUGAGAGGCGAACGGGUGAGUAACACGUGAGUAACCUGCCCCUGACUUCGGGAUAAGCCCGGGAAACUGGGUCUAAUACCGGAUACGACUGGGCGACGCAUGUCUGGUGGUGGAAAGCCUUUUCGGUUGGGGAUGGGCUCGCGGCCUAUCAGUUUGUUGGUGAGGUAAUGGCUCACCAAGACGACGACGGGUAGCCGGCCUCAGAGGGCGACCGGCCACACUCCCACUGAGACGCGGCCCAAGCUCCUACGGGAGGCAGCAGUGGGGAAUAUUGCACAAUGGGGGAAACCCUGAUGCAGCGACGCAGCGUGCGGGAUGACGGCCUUCGGGUGUAAACCGCUUUCAGCAGGAUCGAAGCGAAAGUGACGGUACCUCGAGAAGAAGUACCGGCUAACUAGGUGCCAGCCAGCGCGGUAAUACGUAGGGUACGAGCGUUGUCCGGAAUUAUUGGGCGUAAAGAGCUCGUAGGUGGUUGGUCACGUCUGCUGUGGCAACGCAACGCUUAACGUUGCGCGUGCGAUGGGUACGGGCUGACUAGAGUGCAGUAGGGGAGUCUGGAAUUCCGGCUGUAGCGGUGAAAUGCGCAGAUAUCAGGAUUACC